rnacentral:rRNA from 1 species
GAGUUUGAUCGUGGCUCAGAUUGAACGCUGGCGGCAUGCCUUACACAUGCAAGUCGAACGGCAGCACGGGAGCUUGCUCCUGGUGGCGAGUGGCGAACGGGUGAGUAAUGCAUCGGAACGUACCCUGGAGUGGGGGAUAACGUAGCGAAAGUUACGCUAAUACCGCAUAUUCUGUGAGCAGGAAAGCGGGGGACCUUCGGGCCUCGCGCUCUUGGAGCGGCCGAUGUCGGAUUAGCUAGUUGGUGAGGUAAAGGCUCACCAAGGCGACGAUCAGUAGCCGGCCUGAGAGGGUGAACGGCCACACUGGGACUGAGACACGGCCCAGACUCCUACGGGAGGCAGCAGUGGGGAAUCUUCCGCAAUGGACGAAAGUCUGACGGAGCAACGCCGCGUGUAUGACGAAGGCCUCGGUUGUAAGUACUAGUC